GCGAAUAUAUAUCAAUGGUUAGAUAAGUUGUCUUCCAAACAGCGUAUAUGGGUUCGAUUCUCAUUAUUCGCA
rnacentral:tRNA from 1 species